rnacentral:rRNA from 1 species
GACGAACGCUGGCGGCGUGCUUAACACAUGCAAGUCGAACGGAAAGGCCCUGCUUUUGUGGGGUGCUCGAGUGGCGAACAGGUGAGUAUCACGUGAGUAACCUGCCCUUUUCUUUGGGGUAACUUCUGUGAACUGGGGCUCAUACCGGACAUGAGCUCUUUCUGCAUGGUGGGUGUUGGAAAGUUUCGGCGUUUGGGGAUGGACGCGUGGCUUAUCAGCUUGUUGGUGGGGUAGUGGAUUACCAAGGCAUUGACGGGUAGCCGGCCUGCGAGGGUGACCGGCCACAAAGGGACUGAGAAAGGGGCAGUAGUGAUACGGGAGGAAGCAGUGGGAGUUAGUGCAAGAUGGGCGGCAGGCGGAAGCAGGAACGCCGGAUGGUGGAUGACUGCCUUUGGGUUGUAACCCGGGUGAGCCUGGGAAGAAGAGUGAGUGACGGUAAUGGGUAAAGAAGCAACGGCUAACUACGUG